UUUUUAUGAGAGUUUGAUCCUGGCUCAGGACGAACGCUGGCGGCGUGCCUAAUACAUGCAAGUCGUACGCUUCUUUUUCCACCGGAGCUUGCUCCACCGGAAAAAGAGGAGUG
rnacentral:rRNA from 1 species